GACGAACGCUGGCGGCGUGCUUAACACAUGCAAGUGGUGCGACGAACCAGGCUUCGGCUUGGGGCGAAGCCGCGAACGGGUGAGUAACACGUGGGCAAUCUGCCCCUUUGAUCGGGACAACCCGGGGAAACCCGGGCUAAUACCGAAUGAGGUGGCGACUCAUGAGCGUCGUCACGCAAGGAAGCUUCGGCCUCCGCGAAGGGAUGAGCCCGCGGCCCAUUAGCUUUUUGGUGGGGUAAUGGCCUACCAAGGCAACGAUGGGUAGCUGGUCUGAGAGGACGAUCAGCCACACUGGGACUGAGACACGGCCCAGACUCCUACGGGAGGCUGCAGUGGGGAAUCUUGCGCAAUGAGCGACAGCUUGACGCAGCAACGCCGCGUGAGGGAAGAAGGCUUUCGGGUCGUAAACCUCUUUCAGUUAGGACGAAGCUUUAUUGGUUAAUAACCAAUUGGAGUGACGGUACUUUCAGAAGAAGCCCCGGCUAACUACGUGCCAGCCGCCGCAGUAA
rnacentral:rRNA from 1 species